ACGGGAGGCAGCAGUGGGGAAUAUUGGACAAUGGGGGAAACCCUGAUCCAGCGACGCCGCGUGAGUGAAGAAGUAUUUCGGUAUGUAAAGCUCUAUCAGCAGGGAAGAUGAUGACGGUACCUGACUAAGAAGCCCCGGCUAACUACGUGCCAGCAGCCGCGGUAAUACGUAGGGGGCAAGCGUUAUCCGGAUUUACUGGGUGUAAAGGGAGCGUAGGCGGCAUCUCAAGUCUGUGGUGAAAUGUCAGGGCUCAACCUUGGCACUGCCAUGGAAACUGGGGGGCUAGAGUGCGUUUGGGGUGCAUGGAAUGUGUGGUGUAGCGGUGAAAUGCAUAGAUAUCACACAGAACGCCGAUCGCGAAGGCAGUGCACCAAGCCGCGACUGACGCUGAGGCACGAAAGUGCGGGGAUCGAACAGGAUUAGAUACCCUGGUA
rnacentral:rRNA from 1 species